GUAUGGGGCGAGCGUUGUUCGGAUUUACUGGGCGUAAAGGGCUUGUAGGUGGUGGAUCAAGUCGGAUGUGAAAUCUCCGGGCUUAACCCGGAAAUUGCAUUCGAAACUGAUCCGCUAGAGUACCGGAGAGGGAAACGGAAUUCCUGGUGUAGGGGUGAAAUCUGUAGAUAUCAGGAAGAACACCGGUGGCGAAGGCGGUUUCCUGGCCGGAUACUGACACUGAGGAGCGAAAGCUAGGGGAGCAAACAGGAUUAGAUACCCUGGUAGUCCUAGCCGUAAACGUUGUGCACUAGGUGUAAGUAGGUUUAUCUACUUGUGCCCGUAGCUAACGCAUUAAGUGCACCGCCUGGGGAGUAUGCUCGCAAGGGGUG
rnacentral:rRNA from 1 species